GAACCGUACGAACGUUAUUCGGGAAUCACUGGGGCUUAAAGGGUGCGCAGGCGGCCUGGCAAGUUGGGGGUGUGAAAUCCCUCGGGCUCAACCGAGGAACUGCGCCCAAAAACUGCCAGACUUGAGGAAGACAGAGGUGAGCGGAACUCAGGGUGGAGCGGUGAAAUGCGUUGAUAUCCUGGGGAACACCAGUAGCGAAGGCGGCUCACUGGGUCUUUCCUGACGCUCAGGCACGAAAGCUAGGGGAGCGAACGGGAUUAGAUACCCCGGUAGUCCUAGCUGUAAACGAUGAGCACUGGGUUGGAGGGUCCUCCAUAGCUUUCCAGCCGUAGCGAAAGUGUUAAGUGCUCCGCCUGGGGAGUAUGGUCGCAAAGGCUG
rnacentral:rRNA from 1 species